AAACGCGAUAAGUUCACCGCCUGGGGAGUACGGUCGCAAGGCUAAAACCCAAAGGAAUUGACGGGGGCCCGCACAAGCAGCGGAGCGUGUGGUUUAAUUCGAUGCAACGCGAAGAACCUUACCUGGGCUUGACAUGUACGUAGUAGUGAAGGGAAACCGGAACGAGCCUUCGGGCAGCGUAGACAGGUGCUGCAUGGCUGUCGUCAGCUCGUGUCGUGAGAUGUUGGGUUAAGUCCCGCAACGAGCGCAACCCGUGUUGCUAGUUACAAGUGUCUAGCGAGACUGCCGGUAACAAGCCGGAGGAAGGUGCGGAUGAUGUCAAGUCAGCAUGGCCUAUAUGUCCAGGGCUACACACACGCUACAAUGGCUGGUACAAAGAGAAGCGAAGGGGAGACCUGAAGCGAAUCUCAUCAAAGCCAGUCAUAGUUCGGAUUGCAGGCUGCAACUCGCCUGCAUGAAGUCGGAGUUGCUAGUAACCGCAGGUCAGCAAUACUGCGGUGAAUACGUUCCCGGGCCUUGUACACAC
rnacentral:rRNA from 1 species